GACGAACGCUGGCGGCGUGCUUAACACAUGCAAGUCGAACGGAAAGGCCCUGCUUUUGUGGGGUGCUCGAGUGGCGAACGGGUGAGUAACACGUGAGUAACCUGCCCUUGACUUUGGGAUAACUUCAGGAAACUGGGGCUAAUACCGGAUAGGAGCUCCUGCUGCAUGGUGGGGGUUGGAAAGUUUCGGCGGUUGGGGAUGGACUCGCGGCUUAUCAGCUUGGUGGUGGGGUUGUGGCUUACCAAGGCUUUGACGGGUAGCCGGCCUGAGAGGGUGACCGGCCACAUUGGGACUGAGAUACGGCCCAGACUCCUACGGGAGGCAGCAGUGGGGAAUAUUGCACAAUGGGCGGAAGCCUGAUGCAGCAACGCCGCGUGCGGGAUGACGGCCUUCGGGUUGUAAACCGCUUUCGCCUGUGACGAAGCGUGAGUGACGGUAAUGGGUAAAGAAGCACCGGCUAACUACGUG
rnacentral:rRNA from 1 species